rnacentral:rRNA from 1 species
CCUACGGGAGGCAGCAGUGAGGAAUAUUGGUCAAUGGGAGAGAUCCUGAACCAGCCAAGCCGCGUGAGGGAAGACGGCCCUAUGGGUUGUAAACCUCUUUUGUCGGAGAACAAAACCCGGGACGUGUCCCGGACUGCGUGUAUCCGAAGAAAAAGCAUCGGCUAACUCCGUGCCAGCAGCCGCGGUAAUACGGAGGAUGCGAGCGUUAUCCGGAUUUAUUGGGGUUAAAGGGGGCGUAGGGGGUCCGUUAAGUCAGCGGGAAAAUUGCGGGGCUCAACCCCGUCGAGCCGUUGAAACUGGCAGACUUGAGGGGGCGAGAAGUACGCGGAAUGCGCGGUGUAGCGGUGAAAUGCAGAGAUAUCGCGCAGAACUCCGAUUGCGAAGGCAGCGUACCGGCGCCAGACUGACGCUGAGGCACGAAAGCGUGGGGAUCGAACAGGAUUAGAUACCCGUGUAGUC